ensembl:lncRNA
UAGCCCAGGUCGUAGGCACGGACUACGCUGGAAACUUGCACAAGGGCUUUGCAAGCACCUUGCAAAAGCGGAGUACAUCUCCUGCCACGUUCCUGAGUCGCGCCAGACGUCAUCGGUUCCAGUUUCUGAAAUGCUGGAGAUGCUCGGAGCGCAAAAGGAGCAGGGAGUGUGAUACAUCUCUUUGGGAUGUUAGGUGAGCAAAGCAGUGGUACUGGGCUGGGGGGACAUGGGUCUGGGGCUUCUUGGCUGUUGGGGUAGAGGACGAAAGGAGUGGGUAUGGACUGUUUUGUGGAUUAUUGUCAUGUUUGUCUGCUCUUUCUCCUUGGUCUAAGCCACGUGACCUUGGCUCAGCAUGGCGACUGGAAGCACUAAGCCUGGAUUGGAAGGUGAGUGGAGAAAAGUUGGAAAACAGGCAUUGUUUUUGGUUUGGUAGUCUAUUGGUCCACCUCUGGGUGAGUCCUCUUUUCCAGUGAUAAAGAUGAUACUGGGAACAUCCUAGUUGGCCUCUGUGGUCCACACUGAGGAUGGAUUCUGAGCCCUGAGAAUUACGUCCAGGGGCAAAUACUAUGUGUUGGGGGUGGUUGGCAGGGGGAGGUGGGGAGUUGUGUAGUGGUUGUCUAUCUGAUUUCAGUAGCAGAGCAGGUGAGUUGACUACUGUUUUGUUUCUGAGGUGGGCGUUUCAUUGGAAGAUGCUUGGCCUGCGUGCCUUUGCCUAAUGGCACUUUGUUUCUGCAGGUAAAGUGGAGCCUUGUGCCUGAAGCUAUGUCCUGGCUAGCCUUUGUGUUCCUUGUUGAAGAUGGAACCUGCCUCCCAGCAUUCCCAAGCUAAGUUGGGGGACAAGUGCUAUGUUUGGGUUGGGGUUGUGAGUGGACCCAUAGGGUUAGGGUUAUGAGGGUCUGUGCUUUUAAGUCAUUGCACCGGAUGGGGCCUUUUAGGAUUGAGCAUGGUCAGACAGAGAGGGGGUGGGGGUUCUGUGCCUGUGAGGUGCCUGAGGAUCUGCCUUUUUUUUUUCUUUUGUGGGUGCUUCCUGCAGUCUUGGAGAGGUGAAUCCCCACAUUGUGGAGUGCUGAGGAAAGACGAGAGGGUCGUCAGCCCAGUCAGUGUCCCUAAGCAAGGUCCCCCUAAGGUGGUGUGGGUGAUACUGGCUGUACUGUUGGAGCUUGGACUCAGAGGAACGGGUGAGCCCAACUGUAUGUUGCUUCAGUGGUAGUCAGCAUUGCGGAGGAGGUGGGCAUCAGGGCUGGUGUGCUAGUGAAUGCUGGUACGCUGUUUUUGCAGAUGAUGAUAAGCCUGGCAAUGGACUAAGAUGUGUCUCAGUGCCUGUGCAUUUCUUGAGGUGGAGGGAAUUUACCAUCCAGCAAUCUGAGAGCUAAGUUGAGGGGCACCUGGUAUUUGCAUAUGUGGGGUGGCUGAUGGGAGCUGGGAGCCAGAGCAGCAUGGAGCCAGUUGGCUGAAUAUACUUGGUGCCACUGUGAGGGUGGUUCAGGCUGGGUCACCUUCAGGCUGCUUGAGGCUGGGUCACCAGGCUAAUAGAAGGAGCAGGGGGUAUUUUGUAGCAUGAGUGUCUGUGCCAGGCAGGACAGUUCCCAUCUGUCUUGUAGUGCUGCUUCUGCAGCAUGUGUUCUGUGUCAUGCACUCCUCGGGUCUUGAUAUCCUCCUUGCUUUUUGCACUGGACUGACUAGACAGGCAACUUGGUAGCCGUGCCAAAGGUCC